CCCCGGGCUCAACCUGGGAACUGCGUUNUGAACUGGGUGACUAGAGUGUNUCAGAGGGAGGUAGAAUUCCACGUGUAGCAGUGAAAUGCGUAGAGAUGUGGAGGAAUACCGAUGGCGAAGGCAGCCUCCUGGGAUAACACUGACGUUCAUGCCCGAAAGCGUGGGUAGCAAACAGGAUUAGAUACCCUGGUAGUCCACGCCCUAAACGAUGUCGAUUAGCUGUUGGGCAGCAUGACUGCUUAGUAGCGAAGCUAACGCGUGAAAUCGACCGCCUGGGGAGUACGGUAGCAAGAUUAAAACUCAAAGGAAUUGACGGGGACCCGCACAAGCGGUGGAUGAUGUGGAUUAAUUCGAUGCAACGCGAAGAACCUUACCUGGUCUUGACAUGUACGGAACCCUCCAGAGACGGAGGGGUGCCUUCGGGAGCCGUAACACAGGUGCUGCAUGGCUGUCGUCAGCUCGUGUCGUGAGAUGUUGGGUUAAGUCCCGCAACGAGCGCAACCCUUGUCAUUAGUUGCCAUCAUUAAGUUGGGCACUCUAAUGAGACUGCCGGUGACAAGCCGGAGGAAGGUGGGGACGACGUCAAGUCCUCAUGGCCCUUAUGACCAGGGCUUCACACGUCAUACAAUGGUCGGUACAGAGGGUAGCCAAGCCGCGAGGUGGAGCCAAUCUCACAAAACCGAUCGUAGUCCGGAUUGCACUCUGCAACUCGAGUGCGUGAAGUCGGAAUCGCUAGUAAUCGCAGGUCAGCAUACUGCGGUGAAUACGUUCCCGGGUCUUGUACACACCGCCCGUCACACCAUGGGAGUGGGGGAUACCAGAAGUAGGUAGG
rnacentral:rRNA from 1 species